AUUUAAAUACAUCUUACAAUAUUUUAAAUUAUUAAAAGAAUAAUCUACAUACUAGGUUGUUCAUACACGCAAGCAGCAUUGGUAUCAUCAUCUCCCAGCUGAGUCUCCCCUUUUGGUUUUUAUUAAGUCGGGAUACAUUGUUGACAACAAAACGCCUUCCAUCCACAUCAACAUUAAUAACAUAAUCAUCUUUCCUCAUGCUCCUUAGAUUAUUUUACACUCUGUUACAGAAAUGUAACAUAAUUUCAAAGGAAACUUUUUAUUGUGAAGUGUUUGGAUGUGUUACACUAAAUACUCUACAAUCAUACAGCUUUUCCAUGUCUCCAUCACUAAUGACAUCUUUGCAUCACCUGUUCCCUCCCUUUUUAGCUCACCUGAGCUGUGAGCUAUUCUGAUCACAUUUUGUCUGUCGUCCGUCUGUCUGUUCGCCUGUCUGUUUGUAAACUUUUCACAUUUUCAACAUCUUCUCAAGAACCACAGGGCCAAUUUCAACCAAACUUGGCACAAAGCAUCCUUAGGCUAAGGGGAUUCAAAGAUUUCAAAUUACAUUCACCCUUGAUAUACACAUGUAAGCACUCUUAGGACUAAGAUACCUUGAGUAAACUACUGUAUAUGUAUUAAACCUAUGUGUAUGUUAAUAACCUGUUUUUUUUUAGCUGAAUAUGCCUGACUUUAUUUAUGUCACUCUUAUCCAAACUUAAAUACUUCAAAGUCUAUUCACAUUGCUGAUGUGUUUCAUCCAUUUUACUGCAUAUAUCAAAUGGUUUAAUUUGGCCCAGUACUUUAUUGUUUUCUAGAAUAGAAUUAUGAAAAUCUAAGGAAAAUAGUUUCAUAUCUUAUGUAUGUUCACCUUCACAGAUGUUUUAAUUCAGAAAGUGCUUGUGAUAAAUAGACUUUGGAACUCUGCAUUUUCUGUUAAAUAUGUAUAUUGACUAUUCUAGAGUGAUCGGCCAGGUAGCCAACACUUUCCCAAACAUUGCAAUACAAAACUGUAAAAAGUGUAGUAUAGUUUUAUAGUGCUAGAAUUUGUUUUCUUUGUUUCUAUUAAAAAUAAUUUAUUUUUUGUGUCCUGAAAAAGGGAUUGGUUUUCUUAUAUAGUUUGCAAACUCAAUCAUAUUAAAUAACUCUUAUUGUUCACUUCUGUGUAAUAUUUUACUUUUCAUUAUGUGAACUUUUCCUGUAAAUGUAGUUCAUAAAUGUGUUGGUUUACAUGACUUUUUUUUUUUUACUCCUUGAGGAUAGUUAUUAAAUGGGUUGGUUUACAUGACUUUGUACUCCUUGAGGAUAGUUAUUAUAAAUGAAUAUGAUUUUAAUUCAGACUUGGAACACCACAACCCACUUGACUGUGCUUUUGAAUUACUAUAUACUAAUCUAUAUACUAUAUACUAAUCUUGUUUAUACAUAUACCUGUGAGUUUGUGCAUAUUAAUUAUGAAUAUAUUAUACAUGUUUCACAGAGGACUCUAUUAAAAUAUCAAAAUCAU
rnacentral:sRNA from 1 species